rnacentral:rRNA from 1 species
AACGAACGCUGGCGGCGUGCCUAACACAUGCAAGUCGAGCGCGAAAGUUCCUUCGGGAAUGAGUAAAGCGGCGGACGGGUGAGUAAUACGUGGGUAAUCUGCCCCCGAGCUCGGGAUAACACUGCGAAAGCGGUGCUAAUACCGGAUAAGACCACAUGACCCAGGUCGUGCGGUAAAAGGUGGCUUUAUUUUCGGAUGAGGCUAUCACUUGAGGAUGAGCCCAUGGCCUAUCAGCUUGUUGGUGAGGUAAAAGCUCACCAAGGCUAUGACGGGGAGCUGGUCGAAGAGGACGACCAGCCACACUGGGACUGAGACACGGUCCAGACUCCUACGGGAGGCAGCAGUGGGGAAUUUUGCGCAAUGGGGGAAACCCUGACGCAGCAACGCCGCGUGAGUGAUGAAGGCUCUUGGGUCGUAAAGCUCUGACAGAGGGAAAGAAGUGUAUGGUGGUUAAUACCCAUUGUACUUGACGGUACCCUCAAAGGAAGCACCGGCUAACUCCGUGCCAGCCGCCGCAGUAAUAC